AGAAUCCCAUCCCUGGAUGAGGGUGAUAGUAGGAUUGUGCUCUGGUCUUGCUCCAUCCUGCCUUAGUACCUGGAUUUCCUCUGCGUACGCUUGCGGGGGGGAGCUUUACUAGUGUACCUUCUGCUAAUCUAAUGGUCCUCCAGAUAUCGCCAAAGGCUGGGCAACUUGAAAUCCACACCAGUCAAGGAGGGCUAUCUUACUGUAUCUGCCAGUUACACGUAGGUUACAAAGCAUAAAGGCCUGGAGAGAAAAGACAUUCCCUUUAACCGCAGAAUGUCUCUCCUUUGGACUCUGGGGGAACGAGAGGAAUUUAAGUGCCUGCUUCUCUGGAGAUGGUCGCUUCUGCUUAGCAUUGGGUGCUCUAGAAAAACAGAUUUCAAGGAAAGGACCUCGUUUUGAGUUCCUGGCAACCCCUUGUGUGUGUGUUUUAGUUAUUUGUCUUGUCUUUCUGAUGGGUCUUCGCAAAGGGCGUAGAUUUCAGACAUGACCCUUGUUUAUAAAAGCUAACCGAGUUGGACACCGAAAAAAGCUAAAUAAGAAGGAAAGAGCUUGAAAGAUGGGUAUUCUGAUUAGACGGCAUUCGAGCAGUUUAUGUUCUUUUCAGUUUUACUUGGAACCAUGUCCUCCUCCUCCUCCUCCUCCUCCUUCGAGAGAUUAUGAAGGAUUUGUUAGGAAGAAAUGUUUUGGGAAUCGGAUCAGGGUCUGCUUAUCCUGUUCUCGUAGGCUUUGUGUGAAGGAAGAGGCCGCGUUCGGAGAAGUCUCUUUCCCUCUAUUGCAUUCUUGCGAAGGUGAUUGCACUGACACCUGAAUUGCUUUAAUUGCUGAAAUUUGUGUUUUCUCUGGUGUCCGUCUCCAGAUCUCAACUCCGUGCUGUCUGUCUUUCACCAGGCCUUUCAAUGAAGAUAGGAAAUAGCUUGAAAGCAAAGAUAGACAUCCUAACCAAGAUGGGACCAAAGCCUUGUUUAAAUAGAAUGUACAUAUCUACCAGAGCUUAAGCACAACAAACCAGCUUUUCUUUCUUUGUCCUGUCAAGGCAGCUAAAUAGACAUGUGCAGGUAUAAAGGGAGAAUAAAAA